CCGGAAUUCGAUGAUUGUGAUUUACAAUUUAAUUAUCUACGAUGUCUAAGUUUCGAAAGAUUUUUUUACAGUUCAGUUCCUUUCCUAUUUUUAGUUGAUACCUCCCAGAGAUCGUCCACAUCACCUGUGUUUCUUUUCUUAUCCCUAUCCGUUUUCAUGAUUCACUCGACUGUUUUUGGGUGCGGUCGCGCGUGAUUCUUGCACUUUCUCUUUAAAUGAACAGUGCCACCUGCGUUGUCGGACAUUUUGUUUGUUUUUUAUCUUGAUUUUCGAAAUAUUUAAUGUCAUAUAACCUAAAACCUAGGUUUCUAAAUUGUCUGAUCACAAAACCUGGUUUCUUAGGCUCCACUAGUUUAACGCGAUUUUUUUUUGAAAUCUGUAAUUCGAUUCAAAAAAAUCCUAUUUUCUUUAAUUUUUAAUUUUGUAUUUUGUUAUAACUUUAAAAACGAGCUGAGCCAUGUAGAUGUCAAAGGUUGUAGAGAAAUACUUUUUUUUAAGGAGUUGUAUAUUUUUAAAACUCCUUUUCCGGAAACACCGCGAUAUAAAAUUAACGCUAGGUUAGAAUAUUGCUAAUCACACAUUUUUGGAAUUUUUAUUCCGGGAAAACUGUGCUCUGCUGGACAGUGGCAAUAAAUGUCUUAUCAUUGACAAUAAUAGGCGUUGCCCUUCGGAGAUUAUAAAAAUCAAGAAGAGAGCAAUGAUGCACACUUCCGAACAUUCACUUUUUAUCAGCUUUGAAUUGUAAUCUGAUUUGGUAGUUACGCACGAGUAUGCAAUUUGUUUCAUUAUUUGCAGCAAUUAGGAAAUUCCAAAAAAUCAUGUUCUUCAAGAAUGGGUUACUGUAGAAAUAUAUGUACCUCUGUGUAAAAAUUGACCUAUGAUCAUCAGAAAGCACUCAUUGUUGUUGCAUCUUUUUUUUUGUUGUAAUAGCAUAAUCAGUAGUUAAAGCGGCACCUAAUUCUCUGAGAAUUCUUUGAGAAAUUCAUUUAGAAAAAUGCAAAAAAAGUUGGUGUCAUUCUUCGAAUACUCUCAUGCCAAUGGAUUCUUGUUUUUUGUAUGUGUCCAAAAAUUCAGCAAUACUUCUUUUGAGUGGACGUGUCGAAGAGACGAAGCAACAAAAAGGAGAAGAAGUCGUAAUUGAUUAUAUGAUAUGAUUGAACAUGACUUUUUCUCCUCUCUCCCCCUCCUAAAUCAUACCAUCACUUUUUUGUGUCGUUUUUAAUUCAGAGAAUAUGGUGGUGGUCUCGCUCGCUUCGUUUCCAUUUUGAACCGAUUCUGCCACUAAUUCAUUGGCAUCGGAGGGCACCACUAGUUGUCGGCAUCGGCGGAAAGCGAAAUCUUUUGAGGUAAUCACUUGACUGAUUCGAAGUGAUUUUGCCACUUUUUACAAGAUGAUAAUGGUCAAAAAUCGUUUUAAUUCUAAAAACGGAAGUAUUGAAAAGAUAUGGUGUUAGGAACAAUAUUAUCGGAUAUAUUCAUACCUUGAAGCUAGUGCCUCUAUCUUCGCUUUUCACACUUAGAUUUCCUAAACAUUUUGUUAUAUUUCAUGGUACAUGUUAACUUAAACUAAUAAAGAUGAUAUGGUUA
ensembl:lincRNA linc-138 ncRNA